AAGAAAUUGAGUUUACUCUUCAUCUUCCUAUUUAAUAGUCUCACUUCUUUCUUUGUUAAACACAUUACAAAAACAACAUCACAAUCAGUAACCCCCUCAUCUCUUCAAUCAACAAUCCAGCAUAUCUCCAUCUCUCUCUCUCUCUCUCUUGUGACAACCUUCUUCCACAAACACCCUUCUAUUUCUCUUAUCCUAUCCCCGCGACUCAACCUUCAUCUGGCCCCUCAACCUUCACUCACCAAUCUCCCUUUAUCUCCCUUUACCUCACCCUCUGUUCCUUCCAUUUACAACAACAGUUUUCCGUAA